rnacentral:rRNA from 1 species
GACGAACGCUGGCGGCGUGCUUAACACAUGCAAGUCGAACGGAAAGGCCCUGCUUUUGUGGGGUGCUCGAGUGGCGAACGGGUGAGUAACACGUGAGUAACCUGCCCUUGACUUUGGGAUAACUUCAGGAAACUGGGGCUAAUACCGGAUAGGAGCUCCUGCUGCAUGGUGGGGGUUGGAAAGUUUCGGCGGUUGGGGAUGGACUCGCGGCUUAUCAGCUUGUUGGUGGGGUAGUGGCUUACCAAGGCUUUGACGGGUAGCCGGCCUGAGAGGGUGACCGGCCACAUUGGGACUGAGGUACGGCCCAGAGUCCUACGGGAGGCAGCAGUGGGGAAUAUUGCACAAUGGGCGGAAGCCUGAUGCAGCAACGCCGCGUGCGGGAUGACGGCCUUCGGGUUGUAAACCGCUUUCGCCUGUGACGAAGCGUGAGUGACGGUAAUGGGUAAAGAAGCACCGGCUAACUACGUG